GGGGAUACUGCCAGGCUKGAACCGGGAGAGGUAAGAGGUACUACAGGGGUAGGAUGAAAUCUUGUAAUCCCGUGGGACCCACCCUGUGGCGAAGGCGUCUUACCAGAACGGGUUCGACGGUGAGGGACGAAAGCUGGGGGCACGAACCGGAUUAGAUACCCGGGUAGUCCCAGCCGUAAACGAUGCUCGCUAGGUGUCAGGCAUGGCGCGACCGUGUCUGGUGCCGCAGGGAAGCCGUGAAGCGAGCCACCUGGGAAGUACGGCCGCAAGGCUGAAACUUAAAGGAAUUGGCGGGGGAGCAC
rnacentral:rRNA from 1 species